GGGAAAGGUUUGACGUUAUUGAAUUUUCGCUGCAGAAGAAUCUGGAGCCUCAUUGAAGAACCAUGGAGUGUGUUCAGUAAAGCAGCAGCUAGAGAGAGCAGCUUAGAGUUCUGGAGGCUGGGAAGUCCAAGGUGAAGAUGCUGGAAGAUUUGGUGUCUGGCGAUGUUACCAAGUCCAAUCUCACUCUGCUCGCUGCAGGACAGGCCACUAAAUCAGAGACGAGGUGUUGAGACAAGGAAGACGACUUUAUUCGGAAAGCCGGCAGACGGAGAAGAUGGCGGACUAGAGUCUGAAAAUAACAAUCUUAUCGGGGUUUGGAUGCCAGUUUCUUUUAUAGCACAGAGAGGGGGAGGAGAUGAGGAAGUAAAGUAAAAAGGCCAUAAGUUUUGCAAAUAUCUCCUGGCAUGGCCAGACUCGGGAAGGGGAUGUGUUAAUUUCUUCUUUCUUGCAGCCACCCACAAGUGGACAGGGUCCGGAUGUUUGUCUGAACAAAGGCACUUCGGUUUAACAUUCAGGCAGAGGGGCAGUGUUCCCCGAGGCAGCCCAUUAUGUAUAGACAGUAUCGUUUUAGUGAACAAGAGCAGCGGAGAGCAAAGGUUAAAGUAAGAGAAACAGAUGCAACAUGUAGUCAGAUGUGGCUCUUCCCUGUUACAGCGAGAGCCUACUUCCUGGUUCAUAGACGGCUGUUUUCUUGCUGUGUUCUCAUGUGGCAGAAGGGGUCAGGGAGCUCUCUGCGGUCUCUUUUAUAAGGACACUAAUCCCAUUCAUGAGGGCUUCACCCUCAUGGCCUAAUUCCCUCUCACAGACCCCACCUCCAAAUGCUAUAACAUUGGGGGUUAGGAUUUCAACAUACCCUUAGAGCGGUAUGAGCCCUCAGGACUGCACUACAGGGUAAACACAACCUCCAUAUGGUGGCAAAUGUAUGUGUCUUUGUUUCCUUUGUGGUUGGAGACAAAGUUGAUGUUUUUGUGUCAUCCCUCCAUUGAGCCCCUCAGGUGCUGAAUAAAUACGAAGUCUCCCUGUG